UACAGGAAGAGGGGGGAAAUAGAGAAACUGACUCUGCUGGAAGCUAAAUGAUCAGCAAAGACAAGUAAUGCUUUAAGACGUUCUGGUCCCAUCUGACAAUCAGAUAAAGGCAGUACCAAGAGAUAGAAAUCUUGAUAAAGGCACCACGGCAGUGUUAUUCUGUUGGUAAUAAAUGUUACCGAUUAAUUGGAGCCUUGAUCCUCAGUAGAAAAGGCAAACUACGUGGAUAUGAAGACAAAAUUUCUGCUGGAGUGAGGGCAAAAUGUACCCUGCUUGUCUUACUGCAUCCUCAUCUGCAUUUAGUGAGCCCUUUUCAGAUUCUGAUUGGUUGGAGUUCUAAUUAAAUGGUAGUGCCUGCCUCAAGCCAUGCAUCGAGGGCUAAAAAGACUUGGACUGGAGGAAUAGGUGGGGGGAGGGGAGAAGGGGGAUGCUCUUUGUACCAACCUGUGCAGGGAGAAGAAACAGAUUCUGGAAACUGGACACUACUGCUGCCUCGGGAAACCUGACAAAACAGAACAGAAGGAAAAUAGCAAAUGCAAGUGUUUCUGCUUUGAAAGCUCACAGACCUUUUUCCUGAACAUUGAGGUUGCAGUCUGCUCAGCUUCUUGUGCAAUCAACCGCUGCAGAGAGCAGGAGGUGGGAGAUUAAAUCUGAAAACCAUCCAGACUGUAAUGUCAUGAACCAGGAAGCAGUAAUGAUUUACCAACCUCUUUAUGCAAAAACACAGGGCGCCUGAGCUAGAAGGCUCACUUACAAGAGAAGGGGAGUGUUCUGUGUGUGACAAGUCUGCAUCAAUAUAUAGGUCUCCUUGACCCCUUUCCUUCUCUCCAAAUAGUUAUAGUUUUGGCCUGGUUGUACUGAAAUGCAUUAAAGGCCCUGAUUCCACAAAGCACUUAAGCAUAUGCAUAACUUCAAGCACACUGUGGGCCUAUUCACAUGCCUAAGUGCUUUACUGGAUUGCAGCCAGAGCGUCCUGCAUUAAGGGCCUGAUCCUGCACCAGUAACGUGUUUUCAUUUAUUUAAAUGGGAGUGGGAUCAAGCCCUAUUUAAAUGGCUCUUUGCUCAUACUCACUUUCGAACUUUCUUUCAAGACAAAAGGAAAUACACUUCUGAGUUUUUCUUUGGUUUUUUUUAACAUUAACAAAGUUGCAUUACCCAUUAUAAAAAUCCCAACGUUUCAAACACCUUCUAGAGGUUUUUUUAGUACAGGUUAAGAGAUAAGAAUCGACAUGUCCAUUGUUACCAGCCUUAACAAACUGAAAAGAAAUAUGUUAAAGGAGAAAAUUAUCCCCUUGAGACAACAAAGGUAGGGGAUGCAUGCACAUUAAAACAGGGCACCAGAAACUACCCUGUAUCAGGCAACACUGAACUUCAGCUGCCAGCCUGUUGCUCAUUCACCAAGCUUGGCUAGGUCCCUGUGAAAUUCCUCACUGUAACCUCCAGUGUUCAAUAACCUAACUAAUUUUAUGUCAGUUACAAAUUUGGCUACCACACUGGUCACCCCUUGUCUAGAUCAUCGAUAAACAUCAGUCCUGGUACAGAACAUUGGACACUCAAUGUUAACCUUUGGUCAUGUUGAAAAUUGACCGUUUUUCCCUGUUCAUGUCUACUGGCCAGUUUCUAACCCCUGACAGCACUUUGCCUUUCACCCCAGGGUGACUAAUCUCUCGUGAGGCACUUUGUGAAAGGAUUAUAUGAACAUCAUGAUCUCCUGCAGGCACAGUUUUGCUAACACGUUCAGAAUUACAACAGAUUGCAGAGCUGUGAUAUUCCUUCACAGAAGCCAGGCUGGUGUGUCUGUGUCGUGUUUUGUAAUUUCAGAUUUAAUUAUCAUUUAAUUUUCACUUGAUAAUGAAGUAAGGCGCACUGCUCUGCUAAUUGCCAGGAUCACCCCUCAUGCCUUUUUUAAAGAGUGGUAACAAAUUUGCUCCCCUCCAGCUCUCUGGUACAGUGGCUGAUUCUAAUGAGAGGCUACAGAUUCUUGCUGACAGGGCAGCUUCUUCAUUCUUAAGUUUCCAUAUCAAGAAAGAAAAUUAAACUCUUGAGUUUUGCCCCCCUGGGAAAAUUCAUUUCAUGGAGAAAAUUCCCUCUGCACAGGACAAUAGCUGCUGCAGUGGCAGAACAAUACGCUGGGGAUCAGAGCUCAUUCCUUGGCAUGGAUCCAGCACACCUGGCGAGAGCUGAGCUCGGCCUUUCGCUCUUAGGCCACCACUGCCUGAGAGUUCUGUGGAACCACUGCUUUUGAGACCUGAUCCAAAGUCCAUUGAAGUCAAUGGAAAGACUCGCAUUGAUUUCAACUGGUUUUGGAGCUAGCUUCUAGCCCUUGGGGAUCCAAGCUAAGACCCUCCUUCCUAGGCCAGCAGGGGUUAGGAGCAGUAUGAUGCCAGCACAUUCAGCCCUGGGAGGAUUUGGUUGUGCACCCUCCCCAGGGGCCAGCAGAAGCUGGAAGCUGUGCAGAGCUGGUGCCUUUAUCCCCUGACUGAUGACUGAAGGAGCCACUGAACAAUGGAAGGCCUCUGAGGGGGUUAUUUGCGGGGAGGAAUGACGUUCUUUUGGGCUCUGAGAGCUUCCUCUUGGAGGGGAGAACACGUUGGGAGCCUUAGUACAACACAGAGCUUUACAUGGGAGGGUCCUCAAAGCAGGCAACAGGGGUUUUGUUUGAGUCAGAUAGAACAUACAUUUUCCCCUGCCGCUGCUGCACAGAGAUUUGGAGCAGGCCUAUCUGUCAAGCCUUGUCUACAUAGAGGAAACUGACCAGCAGCAUUAUUCCAGUAUAAUUGAGCUAUUCCAGAAUAACUCUCUUGUGGGGACAGGGGAACUGUCUUCUGGAAUAAAAGUGAGCAGAGUAACUAGUCCGGAACAAAGUAAUUUUUAUUCCAGAAUAGACCGUCCACUUGGGGGAGUUAUUCUGGAAUAGCUAAAUUGAUCAAUUUCCCCUUGAAGACAAGCUCUCAGUUUUGCCUGCAUCAGCAGCGUCUGCUCCCAUGGCUCUGAGUUCAUUAAAUCGAUGGAAGAGAGAUUAAGAGAAAUAGUUUCUUAUUCUUAAAUUACAACAUGGAAGAAGCUAGUAUUUUGUCCUUACAGUGGCAUCAGUUGCUGCUUGUCGUGCUCUCCUCUGCUGUAAUAACUCUUUCACAGUGAUCUUUACUCGAACACCUUGAUACACCUUGGAUUUUCCUGAAAGAGUGAGUUAAAAAUAAGAUUGCAUGGAUGAGAACAGGAAAGCAGGCACUUUAGAGUGGUGAUAUUUAAAAUAUUAAAAAGUAAAUUCAGUGUGUUCUCAGUCACACUUUAUAUAAAGGGUAUAUUUACAAAGAGUUUGUAAAGAGUUUAUGAAUAGAUGUUUAAUAAAUGAUUAGUCAGUUAUUACAGAAUGCCAUAGGUCCCUUGUAACCAUGACUUAUACCCAUUUCAUGAUUGUAAUAUGCUUGUAACAUUUACUAACACUUUGUAGACUAUUUGCAAAUGUACCCUUAAUAUAUAAUAAAUAUAAUUGUGACCAA